rnacentral:tRNA from 1 species
GGCUCCGUCGCUCAACUGAAUAGAGCAUCUGACUACGGAUCAGAAGGUUGGGGGUUUGAAUCCCUCCGGAGUCA